rnacentral:rRNA from 1 species
UACGUAGGGUGCAAGCGUUGUCCGGAAUCAUUGGGCGUAAAGCGCGCGUAGGUAGCUUCGUAAGUCCGUUGUGAAAGUCAAAGGCUCAACCUUUGAAAGCCGAUGGAUACUGCGGAGCUAGAGUACGGAAGAGGCGAGUGGAAUUCCUGGUGCAGCGGUGGAAUGCGCAGAUAUCAGGAGGAACACCAAUAGCGAAGGCAGCUCGCUGGGACGUUACUGACACUAAGGCGCGAAAGCGUGGGGAGCAAACAGG